GUUAUUUGAUGUAUUAUUCUGAUGUUUUUGUGGUUGUGUAGUGGCUCGUUUUGACUUUUCAUGGCAUGACCUUGAGUAUCACCAGUAGACUUUAGAGAAUUUGAAGAUUGCUGUCAAGAGUUCUAAGAAAUUAUUUGCUGUUAUGCUGGACACGGUGGGUGCAGAGAUGCAGGUUGUUAACAAAAGCGAGAAAGCAAUCUCACUUGAGGCAAAUGCUCAAGUUGUUCUAACUCCUGAUCAGGGACAAGAAGCCUCUUUAGAAAUAUUGCCCAUCAAUUUUGAUGGAUUGGCAAAGGCAGUGAAGAAGGGGGACAUUAUUUUUAUUGGACAAUACCUGUUCACAGGAAGUGAAACUACUUCUGUAUGGCUAGAGGGAAUAUUAAUUAUUGAACCAGAAUGCAAAAUUUAUUCCAAUACAUCUCUUUUUAUUAUAAUUUCAAUAUUCUUCACUAUCUUUUCAAAUGAUUUAUAUUGGUCCUUUCGUUUGGGUUGAGUUUGUAUUCAUUUAUUUAUUUUUAAUGUGCUCAACCAUUUGUUUUAGUCCAUAAUUUGAAUACUUGUAAUGGAAAUUAAAAUUUGCUGAAUCGAUAUGCUCUAAAUCUAAGUGUGGUCCAAGGCAUAAAAUGGAAUAUGCAACCUUCUGCCUGCAUGAUUAGUUAUGAAUGGUGCUGUCUAGCAUGUUAAAUUUUUCUGGCAACUAAGUCAAAUUUUACUGGUCUCAAAAGCUGAUUUGUGCAGAAUAUGAUAUUUCAUUUUCAUUUUGGGUUCCAGAUUCAAUCAGGAUGUCAUUAUCUUUUAUGGUAACCAUUUGCUUAUUUUUCUCGGUGCAAAUUGAAAUUUAAGAUUGUUGUUCUAAUAUAGCCAUUAAUAGUUAUAUAUUCUUGAUCUUGAUAGGUUGAAACUACCAAAUACUUCAGCGUAAUUAUUAGUUUUGGCAAUAAUUCAUAUUCC